rnacentral:lncRNA from 13 species
GAGAAGAUGAGUGAGAACUUGUCAUUUCCUGAAUGACAACACAAACUGUCAAAAGAAAAUCACAAGACGGAGAGAUGUGUCUGUACUUAAAACUGUGUCUCUGCAUGCUUUUACAGACUAGACUUGGACUCCAGUCAUCUGACCAUAGGCCCACAAGAAUCUUUGCUUCAAUUGGAGACAGUGUGAGUUUACCAUGUGGUACAUCCUACAUCAAUUCCUGCUCCUCUGUUACCUGGAGUAUAGUGAAAGAUGGGUUUCCUAACCAAUUAGAACUAUCAGGCAAGGUGAAAACGGAUGGUCCAAACUCAGGAAGAGCCAGUCGACUGAAAGUGGGACAUGACUGCUCUCUACAUAUUCAACCUCUUGAAAUAGAUGAUGGAAGACUUUACACCUGUGAAGAUGGGGAUACCAGUUCAAGUGUUUCUCUUCAGCUUCUCAACAUUACUCUGGCAACAGACACCAAUACAGCACCAGAGAUGGAUAUCAAGCUCCAAUGUUACCUGAAUAUAUUCUCAGGCCUUGUCCCACAAUGCAACCAAAGUGAAAUAAAGCUGAAUUGGCUGAAUGAGGCCAAUACAGUGCUACAGGGAGAGAGAUUUCAAACCGAACGUUCAUCUGCUUGCCUCUCUACGCUGACCAUCCGAGGUGUCAGGAAGACAGACCAUCACAGGAAGUGGCGGUGUCAACUGAUUGAAGGAGAGGUUGUGAAGACGUCCCUCAGCUAUACCACAGAAAUUACAGGAGGUAUAGAGGAAGUGUUUGUCGCAGUGGGUGAGUCAGUAUCACUUCCCUGUGCCACCCACUCCUCUCUCGAGGUGGGCAGCAGAUUCCAGUGGACUCUGGGUCAAAGGUCACUGUCCAGUCUGUCUCGGUCAGGCGAUGUCUCAGCUGGAACUCAGGGUCACCUUCCUGCAUCUCACAUCAGCCAAGACGGGUCUUUGGUCAUCAGCAAUGUGAAAACACUGCAUUCUGGGCUCUACAACUGCUCGCAACAGAACAGAAUCUUACUACACACUCUGGAUGUAUCUGCAGAGCAUGCUACCACAGACGGAAACAAUCUCACCCUGACCUGCUCACUCACCUGUGUGGAAGAUUGUGGAGACUUCAAUUUAUCCUGGAUUCACAGUGGCCAAGAUGGGUUGCAGAGUGGCCCUAUAGGACAUAACAACACCCUCAUCUCCAAACUCUUCCUCCCUGACCGCCAGGGCACAGAGAAGAUAGCCUGCGCCGUGCUCAGAGAGGGGGUUGAAAUGGCUGUAAAGGAGUGGACCAUCCAGAGAGGUCGUGUUCUACCUGCAGUGGGAUGGUCAGUCCUUCUGCUACUGCUGCUCUGUGCUGUUGGAGGGGGCGUGUAUUGGAAGAGGCAGGGCAAGGGAAGUGCUGCUCAAGGAGAAGAACAGCAGACAACUGUUGCAAUGACUCAUCUCUAUGAGGAGAUUCAAGGUCGACCAAUUCAACCUUCCGGAGUAACCAACAACAGUUUCUAUGAUCUUCUGCAGGCUGGGAACUGAGUGUAAUGUCAUGUCCUCUAUCUUUAGGCUAUUAGUUGAGUUUUAAAUCUAAUUUGACUACUUUGUACUUGGCAUUGUUUUGUGGUUUGGAUUUCCCUUGAUAUUUUGGAACAUUAUAAGUGUCACCAUGACAUCAAGUCUAUGCAGGUUGUUUUUUAUGGUGGAAAUAAAUUCAUAAAAAGAAAAUAACCUCUAUAGAAUAUCACCAGUUACCACAGUUAAAAACCCCGACAUAAGUUGGUUACAGGAACACAUUCAGUAUGACUCCUCAGUGUGGGGGGUUGAUGGCUAAGUCAUCCCACCUCCUGUCUUGAACAUCACUCUGCUGACUUUCACAUCCCACAUGAAACCUGGUAGCUUCUCUUCAGCAGUGUAAAACUCUGUAGAUGUAUGGGACUGAGACAAGACACAUCCCACAUGAAACCUGGUAGCUUCUCUUCAGCAGUGUAAAACUCUGUAGAUGUAUGGGACUGAGACAAGGCACAUAACACAUGAGAGUGAACAGAUAAGUGUGUUUAUUUAAUACAGGAUGGCAGUGUGUGAGCAUUAGCAAUACAAGUAAAAACCCCAGAACAGCAUGUCUCUCUGUCUGGAACAGCUCCCAACUACACAUCAUUUGGUGUAGAAAAGCGUCAGCAAAAGUUGGUCCACCAUGGGGUCACAAAUAAAGGAAUAAGUCCAAUCAAAUCAAGCUAAAUACAAUUGGUCACCUCAUCCAUUUGAUGAUUUCACAACUAAGAUUGUUAUUGUGUAAUACUAUGUAGGCUAUACCAGGGGUUGAAAGAUAAGAUUGUUAUUGUGUAAUACUAUGUAGGCUAUACCAGGGGUUGAAAGAUAAGAGUGUUAUUGUGUAAUACUAUGUAGGCUAUACCAGGGGUUGAAAGAUAAGAUUGUUAUUGUGUAAUACUAUGUAGGCUUUCCAGGGGUUGAAAGAUAAGAGUGUUAUUGUGUAAUACUAUGUAGGCUAUACCAGGGGUUGAAAGAUAAGAGUGUUAUUGUGUAAUACUAUGUAGGCUAUACCAGGGGUUGAAAGAUAAGAGUGUUAUUGUGUAAUACUAUGUAGGCUAUACCAGGGGUUGAAAGAUAAGAGUGUUAUUGUGUAAUACUAUGUAGGCUUUCCAGGGGUUGAAAGAUAAGAGUGUUAUUGUGUAAUACUAUGUAGGCUAUACCAGGGGUUGAAAGAUAAGAGUGUUAUUGUGUAAUACUAUGUAGGCUAUACCAGGGGUUGAAAGAUAAGNNNNNNNNNNAGUGUGAAGUUCCUUAUCAAGUUAGUCUCUCAUCUCAGAGUCCAAUCUCAGUUCUCCAAGGCCUAGUUUCUAUAUGGGUCAUGAAUACACAUUUGCGGGGAAACAU